ACGAACGCUGGCGGCAGGCCUAACACAUGCAAGUCGAACGCUCGUAGCAAUACGAGAGUGGCAGACGGGUGAGUAACACGUGGGAACCUUCCCUAUGGUUCGGAAUAGCUCAGGGAAACUUGGGGUAAUACCGGAUAAGCCCAUCGGGGGAAAGAUUUAUCGCCAUUGGAUGGGCCCGCGUCGGAUUAGCUAGUUGGUGAGGUAACGGCUCACCAAGGCAACGAUCCGUAGCUGGUCUGAGAGGAUGAUCAGCCACACUGGGACUGAGACACGGCCCAGACUCCUACGGGAGGCAGCAGUGGGGAAUAUUGGACAAUGGGCGCAAGCCUGAUCCAGCCAUGCCGCGUGAGUGACGAAGGUCUUCGGAUUGUAAAACUCUUUUGGCGGGGACGAUAAUGACGGUACCCGCAGAAUAAGCCCCGGCUAACUUCGUGCCAGCAGCCGCGGUAAUACGAAGGGGGCUAGCGUUGUUCGGAAUCACUGGGCGUAAAGCGCACGUAGGCGGAUGUGCCAGUCAGGGGUGAAAUCCCGGAGCUCAACUCCGGAACUGCCUCUGAUACAGCACGUCUUGAGUUCGAGAGAGGUGGGUGGAAUUCCUAGUGUAGAGGUGAAAUUCGUAGAUAUUAGGAAGAACACCGGUGGCGAAGGCGGCCCACUGGCUCGAUAC
rnacentral:rRNA from 1 species